UGUACGUGCAUGCCUGUAAAAAUCUUCACCUCCUCUUCUUCUCCCCCACACACAUUGGAACACACUGUAGCACUUGAAAUCCUUCAGUAAGGGAAAAAAAAAAAAUAAAACAAACCAAAAACACCCUGGAGGGUGAUCAAAGGUGAAUGGGAAGUUUGGCCACGGAGCAGACCCCAGAGGAGAUAGCAGUUCUUUAAGGCUUUCAAGCAGCUGACAAGAAAGCAUCAGUGAGUAUUUGUGGUCAGGGAUAAAGAGAAACAUCCUUUUGAACAUAUCCAAGCGUGAAACCUCCGUAGUAGUUACCUUAUAAUGUUAUCCCUCCGUGUCAUUUUUUAUGAAGAAGACUGAUUUAUAUAUGACAGCAGCAACUUUUUACAGCCCUCGGGGACUGAAACUUCAAUAGCUAAGAUCCGAGAGUAGAACUGUAGUCUGCGACCCCGUCAUAAAUGGCAGCGCGAGGGAGACAAGUGGGAUGUUCUUGCUCCUGUUACCAGACCUUACUAAGUACUGCCUGCAAGUGCAAGCAAUUUGCUUUCAGACCUCAAUAAAAAUUGUCAUUGCAGAGCAGCAGGGUUGUUUUUACUUUUUUUUUUUUUUUUUUUUCCCUGGCUUUCUCAUCCUUUAAAAUAGAACUCUCCUGAAAGUAAGAUUUGCUUUGAAGCCUGGGAAACUCUUAAGGGUAUUUAUUUAUGGUUUGAGAACAUUUGUGUUAUAAAAUGAAUGUCCUUGUAUUUGUGUUCCUAGAGUUCUGAGAGCUCCACUCCUGUGAAUGUCAACAGUCCUUCAAGAAAGAGGACCCAGAUUGCUGGAAAGGUUUAUCUGGACCAGAGCCUACUCCUGGCCGAGAUCUGAAAGAGCUCAGGGAAGAUGCUCUUCCAAGUGCCCUAGGACAGUCUGCCAGGAAAGGACAUCUCCAUCCCAGGAAAGGAAAGGUGGGCUGAGGUUUUUCUAUUCUAUGUGGGUUGUUACGGACGUGGGCCCUGUAUUAUAUUUUUUAAAUUUUUGUUAUGAUUGCUUAUCAUCCUUUGUAACCACAGUCAUUGUUUGUGGGUUGCUUGGGUGUACAGAGAAAUUCAGUGAUAUAUGGUCAAACAAAUUCGCUUACUAG
rnacentral:lncRNA from 1 species